rnacentral:rRNA from 1 species
ACGGAGGGUGCAAGCGUUAUCCGGAUUUAUUGGGUUUAAAGAGUGCGUAGGCGGUUAUAUAAGUCAGCUGUGAAAUUUUUCAGCUUAACCGGAAACAUGCCGUUGAUACUGUACAGCUAGAAUAUGGUUGAUGAAAGUGGAAUGUCUAGUGUAGCGGUGAAAUGCUGAGAUAUUAGGCGGAAUACCGAUGGCGAAGGCGACUCACUGGGCCAUUAUUGACGCUGAGGCGCGAAAGUGUGGGGAUCAAACAG